rnacentral:tRNA from 1 species
AGGCUUGUAGCUUAGAGGUAGAGCGUACGCUUGAUAAGCGUAAAGUCGGUGGUUCAAAUCCACUCAAGCCUA